CUGGCAGCCAUAGCUCCACUUCAACCCCUAGCCUGGGACCCUCCAUAUAUGCUACAGGUGUGGCCCUAUAAACACCAAAAAAAAAAAAAAAAUCAUUUGUGUGGUACUUUAUAUAACUAUUAGCCUGAAAUUUAAAAAAAUAAAAAUAAAAACUGCUCUUCACAUAUAGAGUUUGAGAAGCCUUGAUGGAUGCAGCGAGUCUUGGCCAGGCUCCUCUCCUAGCACCUCAGGCCCCCACUCCCGAGACAUCUCUUAUGCCAAGAUGUGGGGCCAGUGGAUGGACGAACCCAAAACAGAAAUUCAGAUGUGAAAUUUCUUCAGGGGCUCCCAUAACCUGAACAUUCAGGGCAAUUUUCACUUCAUUCUGCAAUAUGUCUACUUUAAAAAAAAAAAAAUUAGCUUGCUGUUUCUUGUUCAUUUUCCUUCAAGUUGUCAAGUAGAAUUUUAGCCCCAAGAUGCACAGUGAGUUUCUGCUUGUUUGUGCCCUUGACAAAGCAUGAGUGUUAUACAUAUGGCUUUGUGUGUCCUGUGAAGCAGCCUCAUAUACCUCUGGGAAAGGGCAGCUUUGCUCCUUUGGGGAAGCAGCUUUCCAGCAAAUACUCAACAGCAUUAAGGUCUCAAGCUUAGAUUGAAGUGCAGUUGAGUGGAAGAGGUGUUUGGUUUUUUAGAAAAGCAAAUUCAAGUUCAAUAGUCUUAUACACAUGUGGCUUUCAAUGCGGUCCAAGUGUGUAAGAGCAAACUCUUACAUCGUGUUCACUAUGCCUUAGGGAAUGUUUCGUAUACUUCUUCCCUAUCAGCUCAUAUAAUCCUUAGAGCAAUCCUUUGAGACAGGUGCUAUUAAUAAUAUCAUCCUCAGAGUUCCCAUUGCGGCUCAGUGGGUGAAGAACCUGACUACUAUCCAUAAGGAUGGCCUCGCUCAGUGGGUUAAGGAUCUUCACGAGCUGUGGUGUAGGUUGCACAUGUGGCUCAGAUCCAUCAUUGCUGUCGCUGUGGUGCAGGCCUGCCGCUGCAGCUCCGAUUCAACCCCUAGCUCUGGGAGCUUCCAUAUGCUGUGGGAAAAAGAAAAAAAAAAUUGUGAUAUCAUCCUCACACUUUUUUGGCCACGCCUGUGGCAUGUGGAAGUUCACGGGCAAGGGAUUGAAGCUGUGCUAUGGCGAACAUCUGGGCCACUGCAGUGACAACACCAGAUACUAACCCACUGUGCCGCAAGGGAACUCCUCAUCUUCAUUUUAUAGAUGCAUUGCUGAUGCACAAGGAGUCUAAGUCACUUGCCCAAAGUCACAUGGCAGGAAGAUGGUAGAGCUCAGAUUUGCACCCAGGUAGCCUGGAGCCAGAGACUUGCUCUGAACAUGUACUGGACUGUGCCCCCCCUAAAGCCUUCUAAAUAGGACAACCUUAGAGGCUGUGUCAACUCAGUAAACUACAACUGCUUAGAGAAUACCACUCUCACAUUUGACUCAGGACCACAGGAUUACAGGGAAGCCAAAGUUACACACUGUGAAACCGGAUAUUAUCUUUUUAGGGGAGAAGGGGGAAAUCUGAAGAUUUUUUUCUCACUUUAAAAAAUUGUAUUGGGAGUUCCCAUCAUGGCACAGCGCAGACGAAUCCAACUAGUAUCCGUGAGGAUAUGGGUUCAAUCCCUGCCCUCGCUUAAUGGGUCAGGGAUCUGUUUUUGCCGUGAGCUGUGGUGUAGGUCGCAAAACAUAGCCCAGAUCCAGCAUUGCUGUGGCUGUGGCAUAGGCCAGCAGCUAUAGCUCAGUGUCAACCCCCUAGCCUGGGAACCUCCAUAUGCUGCAGGGGCUGCCCUAAAAAGGAAAAAAAAAAAUUGGAAGUGUAAUUGAUUUACAAUGUUGUGUUAAUUUCUGCUGCACAGCAAAGCGAUUCAUUUACACAUGUACACAGAUCCUUUCUUUUUUCGGUCCUUUUCUCAUGUAAGUUAUCAAAGAUUAUUGAGUAGAAGAGACUAGCUUUUAAUGCAUGUUCUGCUGUACAUUCUGCCAGCUAAGUGAUAGUUUCAACUUGGGUCCACAUGGAGAAGAAUUAUGUUUGGGACUGUCCAGUUCAAGGCAUCCUGGCUGGAGCAGUUUGCUGGAAAUUUGGGAGCAAGCUUAUAGCCACAAAGACACUCCAUCAAUUCCACAGACUCUUUGGCCAUGCCCGAUUUUGUCAUGGCUGUGAAGAUGCAGCCUUUGUGAAUUAUCCACACGCCAACCCACAUCAGCAUUCGAUUUGGUGUUUCAAGCAUCCCAUUUGGUUUUGAAAUGAGUUGAAGAGGAUGCUAUUUAGGGGCCAUGUGAAAAAAAAAAAUAAUCUGUCUUAUGCUUACGAAAAAAAAAAUUGCUGUGUUCUGAUUAACUGCACGUGACGCUGAGAUAUAUCCCCGUGAAAAUGACCUCCAUUUGCAGGCUGAUUUUGAUUUGCAGGCUGUGGAAUUAGAUUCCACCUCAUUGGUUUUAUGUUUCUCCCAUCGCUUGUCCAUUCACUCGGCCAACAUUUAUUGAGCACCAACUAUAGCCAGGCCCAGUGCUAGGUGCUUGUGGAGAAGAACAGAGGGAGACUAUCCAAGGAUAGUUAAGCCCUGGUCUCUGUCUUGGAGGAGUUUAGUUUUGUCAGGGAGACAGACGUGUGAGCAGUUGUGCAGGAAACUGGCACAGCCCAAGCCAAAGCCUAUUACGGAUGCCAAGGGGUUCAUUUUCUAGUAGCUUGGUUACUUUAGGUAUGAGAAACACCAGGUUGUAUCACCUGAGAGUUCGUAACCGUGUUAUUAUUUACUCUUGACCUACCUCUAAGGUUGAAACAAUCCAUUUCAUGCCUAAAAGGCUAAACUCAGGAUGAAUAGAUGUGGGAGCAUUAGCGGACCUCAUCCGUUCGUGUCAGAACAAAGCCAGCAAAGGGCAGAAAGCAUUUCCCUAAUGCACCUGCCUCUCUUCUCGCAACACCAACCCUCCAUCUGCCCAGGGCUUCACAAAGCAUUUCCACGUCCAUCAUGGCGCCACCUCAUGGGAAGGACAUCUGAAGACAGGCAUUACCGUCUAGAGAGAAGUUAGGGACCUGCCCAAGGCCACUCGGUUCAUGGUAGAGCAGGGUCUGCAACCCAGGUCUUCUCAUCUACUCGAUCUCAAAACUGUCCUGUGUGGUUCACUGCGCUGCUCUGUUUGUCUAUUGAACCCUGUUGUACAUGCGGCUUUGGAUCCACUGUGCGAUUGGACAGUGUAAAUCCAGUAGCCAGUUGCUGUGUCAUCUGGAUCGCCUGGCAUUUUACCCUCUAGGUGAGUGGUCAUUCUGUCCCCAAGGACAGAAGGAAUGGCCUGAUGCAGUAGCAUUUUUGAACCCAGGUAGGACAGAUAGACCAUUCAAGAGGCAGCUGUCUACAGUCCACUCAGUCUCCUUUCCUGGCUGCCACACCUUGAUGUUUUCCUUCAUUGUUCGAAGGAAAUAACUCUCAGGAAAAAUCUUCAGGAUGGUCGUAAAAAAAUAGACUUUUUUUUUUUUUUUCUGGGGGUGGGGUUGUUGACUCAAAUGGGAAGCUCACCUCAGCUUUUUGAAAGUCAGAGUGGCCUUUGUGUUCAGAAAUUAACUUUUUACAGCAGCACCCGGGGGUUAGUUAUUACACAUUGGAUACUUCUAGGAAUUUAAAUGCGAUCGAUUAAUUGAUGGUAAAAAUUAUAUUAUGUAAAUGCAAAUUCAGAAUUGAGUUUGGUGUUCACAGUGGCCUGAAAACAUUUUAAAAGGCCAGGUGAGGCCUGAGGAAAUUGGAAGUUUUAGUCCUUGCUAUUUAAAAAAAAAAAAAAAA
rnacentral:lncRNA from 9 species